UUCCCUACGGGGGGCAGCAGUGAGGAAUAUUGGUCAAUGGGCUUACGCCUGAACCAGCCAAGUCGCGUGAGGGAAGACUGCCCUAUGGGUUGUAAACCUCUUUUGUCAGGGAGCAACGCCGGCUACGUGUAGCCGGACUGAGAGUACCUGAAGAAAAAGCAUCGGCUAACUCCGUGCCAGCAGCCGCGGUAAUACGGAGGAGGCGGGCGUUAUCCGGAUUUAUUGGGUUGAAAGGGUGCGGAGGCGGAAUGCCAAGUCAGCGGU
rnacentral:rRNA from 1 species